ACAACUUUUAAUAAUAGAUCUCUUAGUUCUAGCAUUAAUAAAGAACGCAGCGAAAUGCGAUAAGUAGUGUAAAUUAUAGAAUUUAGUAAAUUAUUAAAUCUUUAAACGCACAUUGCGCCCCUUAGUAUUCUAUAGGGCAUACCUAUUCAAGCGUUAUUUAUACCCUUAAGCUCUACUUAGUGUUAGGUGUUUGUUCUACUUAGGACUUGCCUUAAAAUAAUUGGCAGCCAGUAUAUUAGCCUAGAGCGCAGCACAUUUUGCGCCUCUUAUUAUAGUUAUUAGCAUCUAUUAAGACACUUUUUAAGCUCUUAACCUUAGAUUAGGUAGGGAUACCUGCUAAACUUAAGCAUAUUAAUAAGCGGAGGAAAAGAAACUAAUAGGGAUUGCCCUAGUAACGGCGAGUAAAGCGGCAACAGCUUAAAUUUAAAAUCUAGCUCUUUUAGGGUCUAAGUUAUAAUUUGCAGAGGGCGCUUUAGCGUUAGUAGCAGUCUAAGUUCCUUAGAAUAGGACGUUAUAGAGGGUAAGAAUCCUGUACGUGGUCGCUAGCCUUUACUAUAUAAAGCCCCUUUAACAAGUUAAGUUAUUUAGGAAUAUAGCUCUAAAUAGGAGGUAAAUUUCUUCUAAAGCUAAAUACUAGCUAGAGACUAAUAGCGUAUAAGUAGAGUAAUUAAAAGAUAAAAAGCACUUUAGAAAGAGAGUUAAAUAGCACGUGAAAUUAUUAAAAGGGAAGCGCUUGCAGCUAGACUUGCCUGUAGUUACUUAUCUAGGCUUUUGUCUAGUGCACUCUUCUAUAGGCAGGCUAGCAUUAGUUUAGGCAGUUAGAUAAAGGUCUCUAUCACGUACCUCCCUUUAGGGAGGCCUUAUAGGGGAGACAAUAUGCAACUAGCCUAGACUAAGGUCCGCGUAUCUACUAGGAUGCUGGCGUAAUAGCUAUAAGCGGCCCAUCUUAAAACAUAGACUAAGGAGUCUAACAUCUAUACAAGUGUUUAGGUGUUAAGCCUAGACGCGUAAUAAAAGUAAACAGAGGUAGGAACCCUUUUAGGGUGCACUAUUAACUAAUCCUAAUGUCUUUAGAAGGAUUUAAGUAAGAGCAUAGCUAUUAGGACCUAAAAGAUAGUAAACUAUGCUUAAAUAGGGUAAAGCUAGAGGAAACUCUAGUAGAGGCUCGCAGCAGUUCUAACGUGCAAAUUAAUUGUUAAAUUUAGGCAUAGGGGCAAAAGACUAAUUAAACUAUCUAGUAGCUAGUUCCUGCUAAAGUUUCCCUUAGGAUAGCAGUAACGUAUUUAGUUUUAUAAGGUAAAGCGAAUAAUUAGAGGCCUAGGGGUUAAAAUAACCUUUACCUAUUCUUAAACUUUAAAUAUAUAAGAAGUCCUUAUUACUUAAUUAAACGUAGACACUUAAAUGUACUGUUACUAGUGGGCUAUUUUUAGUAAGCAGAACUAGUAAUACAGGAUAAACUAAACGCGGGGUUAAGGUGCUAGAAUGCACGCUUAUUAGAUACUACAAAAGGUGUUAGUUUAUCUAGAUAGUAGGAUAGUAGCUAUAGAAGUUAGAAUCUGCUAAGGAGUGUGUAAUAACUUACCUGCUAAAUAAACUAGCCCUAAAAAUAGAUAGCGCUUAAGCGUGUUACCUAUACCCCGCCGCUAGGGCAAGAUUUAAGCCCUAGCGAGUAGGCAGGUGUGGAGGCUUGUAACAAAGCCUUAGGGGUAACCCUAGGUAGAAUAGCCUCUAGUGCAGAUCUUAGUAGUAGUAGCAAAUACUUAAAUAAGAACUUUAAGGACUAAAGUAGGGAAAGGUUCAGUGUAAAUAGCAGUUAGAUAUAGGUUAGUUAAUCCUAAGAGAUAGGGUAAUUCUAUUUUAAUAUUAGUGCUUGCGCCGCGCCCUUAAAAGGGAAGCUAGUUAAUAUUCUAGCACCUAGAUGUAGAUUCUCCGCAGCAACGUAACUAAGAGUAGAGACCUUAGCAGGAGCCCUAAGAAGAGUUCUCUUUUCUUCUUAACAGUCUGUCACCCUAAAAUUAGUUUGUCUAGAGCUAGGGUUUAAUAGCUAGAAGAGCGCUGCACUUUUGCAGCAUUUAGUGCGCUCCUAACAAGCCUUAAAAAUCUACUUAAAGAAAUAGUUUUUACGCUAGGUUAUACUUAUAACCGCAGCAGGUCUCUAAGGUAUAUAAAGCCUCGUGAGUUAAUAGAAUAAUAUAGAUAAGGGAAGUUAGCAAAAUAGAUCUAUAACUUUAGGAAAAGGAUUAGCUCUAAGGGUUAGGUACGUUAGGCCUUAGGGAGAAGCCUCUAGCGUAGAAGGGCACUAACCAUAAGGUAGGCGCCUCUUAGCGCUAGGGUGCAGACACCCUUAGCAGGUUUUAGCUAUCUAGCGUACGUUUAACAACUAACUUAGAACUAGUAUAGAUAAGGGGAAUCUAACUAUCUAAUUAAAACAUAGUAUUGUAAUAGCUAGAAAGUAGUGUUAACGCAAUGUGAUUUCUGCCUAGUGCUCUAAAUAUUAAAGCAAAGAGAUUUAACCAAGCGCGGGUAAAUAGCAGAAGUAACUAUAACUCUCUUAAGGUAGCUAAAUGCCUUGUUAUCUAAUUAGUAACGCGCAUAAAUAGAUUAACGAGAUUCCUACUAUCCCUAUCUACUAUCUAGCAAAACCAUAGCUAAGGGAACAGGCUUAGCUAAAUUAGCAGGGAAAGAAGACCCUGUUAAGCUUGACUCUAGUUUAACAUUAUGAAAAGAUAUAGGGGGUGUAGAAUAGGUAGGAGCUUUAGCGCUAGUAAAAUACUACUACCCUUAUUGUUUUUUUACUUAUUUAAUAAAGCGGAGCUAGGCCUUACCACCUAACUUCUAGCGUUUAAGGUCCUUUAUAGGCUAAUCUAGGUUAAAGAUAUUAUUAGGUAGGGAGUUUAGCUAGGGCGGCAUAUCUAUUAAACUAUAACGCAGGUGUCCUAAGGGGGACUUAUAGAGAAUAGAAAUCUCUAGUAGAGCAAAAGGGUAAAAGUCCCCUUGAUUUUAAUUUUUAGUGUGAAUACAAACUAUAAAAGUGUGGCCUAUUAAUCCUUUAGUCCCUUAAAAUUUAAGGCUAGAGGUGCUAGAAAAGUUACUACAGGGAUAACUGGCUUGUGGUAGCUAAGCGUUUAUAGCGACGUUACUUUUUAAUCCUUUAAUAUUAGCUCUUCCUAUUAUACUAAAGUAGAAUUUAGUAAGCGUUAGAUUAUUCACCUACUAAUAGGGAACGUAAGCUAGGUUUAGACUGUUAUAAGAUAGGUUAGUUUUACCCUACUAAUAACCUUGCCUUAAUAGUAAUACUGCUUAGUACAAGAGGAACCGCGGUUUUAGAUAAUUAGUUUUUGCGGCUAUCUAACUAGGCAUUGCUGUAAAGCUACUAUCUGCUAGAUUAUGGCUAAACGCCUCUAAGUUAGAAUCUAUGCUAGAAUAGGGUGAUUUCUGCCUGCACUAGUUAGAUACAAAUAGGCCUUUAGCCUAGAACCUUACUAGAUUAGCGUUGGCAGCCCUAUUAAAGUUAGAGUUGUUAGCUAGUGUAUUGUAAUUGUAUAGUGCGUAGGAU
rnacentral:rRNA from 2 species